AUUGAACGCUGGCGGCAGGCCUAACACAUGCAAGUCGAGCGGAUGAAGGGAGCUUGCUCCUGGAUUCAGCGGCGGACGGGUGAGUAAUGCCUAGGAAUCUGCCUGGUAGUGGGGGAUAACGUCCGGAAACGGGCGCUAAUACCGCAUACGUCCUGAGGGAGAAAGUGGGGGAUCUUCGGACCUCACGCUAUCAGAUGAGCCUAGGUCGGAUUAGCUAGUUGGUGGGGUAAAGGCCUACCAAGGCGACGAUCCGUAACUGGUCUGAGAGGAUGAUCAGUCACACUGGAACUGAGACACGGUCCAGACUCCUACGGGAGGCAGCAGUGGGGAAUAUUGGACAAUGAGCGAAAGCCUGAUCCAGCCAUGCCGCGUGUGUGAAGAAGGUCUUCGGAUUGUAAAGCACUUUAAGUUGGGAGGAAGGGCAGUAAGUUAAUACCUUGCUGUUUUGACGUUACCAGCAGAAUAAGCACCGGCUAACUUCGUG
rnacentral:rRNA from 1 species